ACUUUCCUUCGGUUUGCUAGCCUAUUUCUUUCCUACCAUCCCAGUCCCCAUUUCCCUUCUGUUUCUGUCUCCCACUCCACGCGGAUAACGAGAACUUUCUGGGGUGGGGGUGAGUUUUAUAAUUUUCUCGUAAGUAUUCUUUCACAGAGUUUUGAUUUUAUUCCUUGAUUCCUUAGGUUGGCAAAGUUAAUGGGCUGGUAACUCGAUUAAUGGUAAUUUGGAAAGAAGAGCGGCUGGGGCUGGUGUGUGUGUGUGUGUGUGUGUGUGUGUGUGUGUUAAGAACACCGGCGGUUUGUGAUCCCCCUGCGACAAUUGAGAAAGGUAAGUCUGUGAGACUAUGGGCAAGAUCACAGGCACCAUUGUGAAGGUGCCUGAAUGACCUCUGGAGACAAGAAUCCAGCUUACAUUUUGCUAGAAUGGCAACCCUAAACUCUGCGGGGCAAUGUCUCUGAAGCUACUUGUAGCCCGCGGGUGUUAGUGCCUGCCGGUGUCGCCCAUUGUAUGGGUGUAAAGGUGUCACCCUCUGGCCAGCUCCUGUGGUCCCAGCAUAGCAAACUAGGCCUUGGAGCACCUGCCAUAACGGCCUCUCAGAGAGGCCUGGACACUGAAAGCUGGCGCUGUGGAUAAAACUGAGGAUAGCAGGAGCAAGCGCAGGCCUGGAGUGUCCUCCUUCACUCCGGGGUUCAAUUUCUAGGCGCAGUGUGUCUCUUUUCCUCCAAUUCCAGUAGUUUUCUCAUUGCACUAGGCAGUUCAAGAGAGGCCACCCUAUCUCUUCAAGAUUGGUAGAAGCCGUGGAAUGGCUCUUGUCCCACAUAGAUUAUACACGCGCUCACCGGUGUGCGCCGCGGUGUUCUGUGAGUUCUGGCCGUUAGCCGUGUUAAAACUCCGAAGGUCGGAGCGCACGGGGGCGCCUGGGGGUCUGCGUUCCCCGGGCUUUGGGUAGGCACCAGCAUCUGAGCCUGCACACCUCUCAAGGGAGGCCAAAUCUCCGAAGGCAGGCCAAGCAAGCUAUGGAAGUUGGGGAGGGGGUGUUAUUAAUUACUUCAGGCUAGGCCUAAUGCUUCCAACCCUCAGAGGUGGUUGGCAUGGACGUCCUGUGGAUUUUAUUUGCACACAAUGGACAUGAUUUGUUUUCUAAAAAAAAAAAAUAGGUGUGGGCAUGGCAGAUAUUUGAGGAGGAGGUGGAGGGGAGAAGGCGGAAGGGAAGAGAGCUGAGGAAAAAAGUUUGAAAAUGCCUUGAACUAUUCACUGUCGAGAUGGCUAAUCAGUAUUGAGGCCGGAGGGCAGGCGGGCCGCCUUUCACCACCGCUUCCCUUUCAUCUCUGGCUCGGCGGAGGCGCUCAAUUAAAAGCCUAUCAGUUUGUAAGUAAAUCAACGCCUAUCAGAGUUGUCACAUCAAACAAAACGAUUAUUAUUGCAGCCCGCCUCCCCUAUUAAUCUCCCUCGAAGAUAAUCCGCCUGACAGGUCAGGCCCGGCAAGCUGGAAAGCCUGGCCCAGAGCGCCCUAAGAGUCCUGGACUGGCGCAGGCCCCCAGGGGUCUCUACACCCAGGUUCUGUUCCGCCUAGCAAUCCUCCUCGAGGGGUGACGGAAAGAGUAAGCCGAGCAAGCUAAGGAUGCUGGACCCAUUCCCUCCCCACCAGACUGCAGUUAGACCCGAGAUUCCCAGGGGCCACUGAGGUGACGGUCACGCCCAAGCCUAACAGCUUUUCAAACCAGCAAGGCUUAGGGAGGGACAAGACUUGUGGCCCGGCUUAGUCCCAGGACCUCGACAUAGCCUGUACUCUUCUGGGUUCACUCCUCUUUUUUUCCAUUAUAGUUUUUUUUCUUUUCUUUUUUUGACUCUCUGAACCUUUCUCUCUUCAUUUCCUUUUUCUGAGUUGUCAGGGACUAUUUCUUAUUGCCUUACUCCAUCCCCCUUCCCCCUGCUCCAUGUAUAAAUGUCUACAUGGUAGUCAUAGUCUUAGGAAAAGGACGUUCUCAGGGCCCGGGUUAUUUCUCUCUCCACGGGAGUGCAUGAGAGUCUCAGUUUUUUUUUCUCCUGCAAAUAAAUAAAUAAAUAUGCCCCCUAGUUUCUUCCCCAAGCCAGGAUUUUUUAGAGGCUCUUUACCUCCUUAAAGGUUUUGUGUAUUUGGGGACAGGGAAAUAAUAGAGCCAGUGCAGGAUAGCUAAAUAUGUGGGUUGUUGCAAGCCCCUAUUUGGAAUUAGUAUCUGGCCCCGGGAAUUUUACAGUUCCAGCCUUGUUGACCUGGCCAAUAGCCUCUGUGGAGCUUCACUGGGUGUUGGGAUCUCAGCCUUUAGUGCAUGAAGGAGUGCCUAGUAUUUCUUAAGUAAAUACGCCUAGGUUGUUGCUUCUAUGACCACAAGCUAGAGCCUCAAGGACUGGAAGGGGUUUGGCUUCUGGACCCCUGGAUUGUGGCCUUCUUCCUGAUGUCUCUGGCUUCCCAUUCUGGUAAUGUCUUGGAGUUGAGCAUCACCCACCUUUCUCUGCUAUGCUUUUGGUCCAAGCUCAGAUCCAAGUGGCCACUGCCACAACCAGACUAAGCCAGGACUGAGAGCUGGCUGAAGUGUCUGAGGGAAAGGGUUGUUGGAGGGACCCAAGACCUACUAAUUUAAAUGCCAGCUCUUCUCUAAGACACUGUCUGGGAUCGCCAUCCACAAGAACCCCAAAGGUGUUCUGCAGUUGAACAUCCACACUGAGCAUCUUCAGCCAGCAGCAGUUCUGCUGGGAUUGAAGGCUGGGACUACCCAAUAAGACUUACUUCAGACUGCUUGGUGCCCUGGGCUGCAGGACUAGGGGUUCCCACACAAGGCUCCCCAAAGUCCCUCAGUUUGUACUCACUUUCCAGUCUUAUGAAAAUAAUUUAUUUCUAAACUCAGAAAUACUGUAUAUUCAUAUAUAUUUAUACAUAUAUAAUGAAUGCUGCACAGUGGCUCAGUUAUCUGCUUGCCUAGAGGUUUCUUAUGAGUUUAUUUAUGUCACCUUCACUGUACUGCAGAUACUUAAAGAGUUAUAGACAGGGCACUAUUCAACUCUGGCUGUAGGAAAUAUUCACUAGGUGAUUAUUUAGACAUAAGUUCUAUCUUGGGCCCCGAUAACACUCAAGCAAGGGAUGUAAAAAAAUACAUCACAAGUAAGGACAAAACCAAAUCAACCCUUGCUUUAUAAUUUUUCCAAUUUAAUUAUAUGUGCAUACAUUUAGAAUUUAAGAAUAUAUAUUUUUUAUCCUAUAGGUGCCAAUUUCCAGACGUGUUAUGUUAUGUGCCCUUGAAGCCAGAAGCAAUAAAUGGUAUUGGUACUGAGCAUUGAAAUGUUUGUAUAAUUUUACCUCCACAUGGCUAAAGCUUACACAUGGCUCUGCAAUAAAUCCAAUCUUGUCAUUUUUAGACUCGACAGGAUUUCUCUGGCCUUCGUUGGUGCCACAUUAAACCGAGUACGUCCAACCAGCAGGCAUCCAAUUGAAAAUAGCUCCCGGGUGGCAUGUACCAGUGAGGCUCCGCUCAGUGACAGGCACGAGAUGACUCCCUAUGCCCAGGAAGCAGUGGGUUCAGCCCUACUGUUCUCUUGGCGCCCAAGGUUUCAUGGCUUCUCCCUGCGGUGCUGGGCCUAGUAGCCCCCACAUCUGCUCAAGCUUUAGAAACCUACAGGCUUUCUGAAGAGUCCGCCCCCAGCGAAAACUGAAAGCAAAUUCCGCCGCAGAGUCUGAACUUUGCUUCAAGCAAGUUUCCUCCAGAGAAUCAGAGGCGGCUUUAAGGGAGGACAAAGUAUGAGCGCACGGGGGAGGGGACCUGGUGGCCUAGCUUGGCCAGAGGCAAAGUGAAGGCACCCCCUUCCUUAUUUCUGUUACUUCUUAGUGCCCACCUCCCGUCUGCUGCAGAUGCCCAGCAUGGGUAUCUACAGUUCACACCGGCCGGUACUGGAGAAGUAGCUUUGCACAGAGCCUUGCCCAGAAUCGCCCGCCUGAUCCUGCUUGAGAAAAUUUGAGUCCAGAUCACCUUCUGUGGGGAAGAAUGGUUAGAAGUCAAUCUGAGCAGUCCCGGGCCUAGCGCUCUGCCCUAACUUCCAGUCAGAGUAUCCUGGGGCAAGACUUCUGAAGUCUGGGAUGUUUGCCCUGUUAACUGUAUGCCUUUGGAGUUGAGAGGAGCUUUGAGCUGGAGGAGGAAUUGUAUGGAGAAGUUGAGAGGUGUCACCGGAGUGGUCUCAGCUGCUAGCCUCCUGGAGAAGCUGACCAUUGAGAAUCCUGGUUUCUCCUCUGAAGUCUCAACCAGGGCUGUCGAGAGCUCUUUGGGGGUAGGGGUGGUGAUGGAGUAAAGCAGAGGCUUCAGACAGACACAGUUGCCUGGCAUGCAUGGAACAGAAACCCUGAGCUCAGUCCCAGCACUCACCACAAGGUAUAUGUGGUCUGUUCCUGUAAUCUCAGCAUCUGGGGUGGAAGCAGCCUUCAUGAGACUGUAUAAACGACAACAGAACUAAACAACAAUAACAAAACUUCCAAAACAAUAACAACAACAACAAAGCUGUGUCUGGAAGCUGAGCAGCUUGUUUCUCUUUGAAAAACAUGUGUGGGUUCCAGCUUAUCUUAGCGCCACUAUGGGUCUGUCUCUCAUGGCUGAUCUGAUCUGGCUUCUUAGGUCUUAGCCUCUUACCCCACUCAUCCUGGGCUCCCACUAUCCCUGGCUUUCUUUUGAUUGCUCCAAUAGGAGCCAGGCUACUUACUUCCCACCUCAAAGGCUUUGCUGAUGCCUUCUGUCCACUCCAUCUGGCUCCCCUUCCCUUUCCUUAGAUCUUCAAGUACAGGCCACAUCUCAUGCAUACUCCCUGAAACCUCAGCUGUUACAGGGUGUUCUGUAGAGAGUUUGUCUUCUCCUCAGGAUGGUAAACUCCAAGGGCAGAGCCCGGAGCCCUUUCUUCCAAGGAAUGAAGAUAAAUAAAAAUAAACUCAAUGAUGUCGAUUGGA